AGCUCUGAUCCAGAUACGGUAUAUAAGAGAGUCCAAAAUUCAGCUCAACACAACAACCUUCUUAUCAAGUCAAGCAGAGAAGACUCUAAGCUGAAAUCACUGCAGCCAUGCUGAAGGUAGCACUUAUCCUUGGAUGCCUCCUGAGCCUCAUUGUGGCUGCACCAAUGGAGAACCAGCGAUUUGCUCGCUCUGGCUCUGGAUCUGGAUCGAACUCCAAUGAGGUCUCAACAACCAACUUUGCCACCCUGCUUUCCCUGCUUAUCCAGCUUCUUGCCACCACUACCACAACUACAACAACCCACAAUAGCACCUACAACAGUGGCUCCUCCUCCAUAAAAUGGAGUCUUGAACAUCAGCAACUUUGUCAUGUAUUGCUGAGAAAGUUAUCUUUUUCUUUUUCAGUUUUAAAUACCAAUGAUAAUGAUUUAUGUCUGGUAUCUGCUCAAUAAAGCUUAGCAAAAAA